CUCUUCGCCUCCUCCUUCCGCGACCUUUAAAAAGCCGUCGGGCUGCUCAGGCUGAGGGAGAGAAGCAUGUACGAUACCAUCUUAGGCAAUGUGGAUGUCAAAAAUGGAAGGGCGUGGAAAACAAGGAAUAUUAACUUAGCCAAGAGUGCCUAUUUAACCACAUGAAUCAAAACUGACUUGUAGAAGAUGCCAUCAAACCGGUGCCAGAUAAGAUACUUAGGAGAGGAGAUUUGAUGGAAGCUUAUCCAAUUACGCCUGGCGAAGAAAUUAAACCUAAGGACGAGGCUUCCUUCCUUCCGAGAAAAUGAGAGGUAGAGACCGUCGGAUGAAAUGGACCACGUGGAAACUUAAAACAGAAUUAUGUUGCUGAUGGACAGAGUCCGGUGCCUCUUUGAUAUUGCAUUUCUUUCCAACAUUCCCCUGGGCUGGGAAGAAAGAAAACUUAGUAUUGCAAAAAUCAUCUGAUGCCAGGCCCGAAAACAGUGGUAAACAAACGUUGCAAAAUCAAGAGAUUUUGGAGCACCGAAGGCAAAUGUCGCUCCGGGCCAUGAUGGCCAACACCAGCUGUUUAGAACAGCCUCCCCUUUGAGGUCAGACCAGCUCCUAUCUUGGUUACCUGCACAAUGGCACACAUUAGAGACAGCCUUUCUAGCAGGUUUGUGUUGCAAUGCCAGCUUGUUCGGAGUUUUACAUGUUAUGAGAUGUUUGAUUGCAUUUUGCUGCUCUUGAUUUGCUAGUAUUUUUUUUUUUUUUUUAAAAAAGCAUGGUGCUUUAUCUUGUCGGUAAGGAACCAAGAGUCUGAUUAAAUCCAGCAGGAUAGAAAUCUAAAAUAAUUUAAAAUAAAGGCAGGUAACAUAGCAUCAGUAUGCGUAUCGUAGUUACCCAUUUUGUCUCGCUACAAUAACAACUUCACUAAGUUAUGUUCCUAGUAUGUGCCACAAUAAACAAAUGAUUCAUAGUCAGACUUUCUCAGCUGCGCUUGGAGGAAUAGUUCAAAGAUGUAACUUUGUUGUGGCUGUUGUCGUUGCUGUUGUCAUUGUUAUUGUUGUAACUUACUGCUUGGCUGCCUUCGGUUCAACUUAUGGUUCUCCUUUAAAAUCACGCUUGCCAUCACUUUGAAAGGAUUCAGCAGAAGCUCAGAGCUGGAUUGCUAAAGAACUCUGAAUGUCACCGAAACAUUUUCUCCCAGUUCCGUGACCUCCUUUGUGGUUUUGUGUUGUUGUGAUUUCUCUUUUACUGGUACUGGUGCUGCGUCUGUGCCAAGGAAUUUCAAAAGCAAAUAUUGAAAGGGAUCCGGGUUAUUCUUUUAAAAACAAAGGACGGGGGGGGUGUGUGUUUCUCCAUCCAGCAUCGGGUGUCGGUGUACGUUGGCCCCGAUCCCAUCGCUGACCUUGCCAGAUCUGAAUUCACCCUGGCUUCCAUCUGCUGUGGAGGUAGCUGCUUGGUUCCUGUGUAUCCAUCAUAUGUUGAUUUACUAGAAGUGCCAUGUCCAUCAGAAUAACAGAAUAGAAUAGAAUAGAAUAGAAUAGAAUAGAAUAGAAUAGAAUAGAAUAGAAUAGAAUAGAAUAGAAUAGA